CGCGCGGUGGACUGGGGCAGUGUGGAGGGAGCUGGGACGUCUAGGAGGGCGGUCUCCGCCCGAGUCCUAGGGGAGAACGGAUGCAGGCGCCCUCCGUCCGCGCGCCUCCAGUCUUGUUAGGCCUCGGGGGCCUGGAAGCCCCCGGGAGCCUGGGAGGGGCCUGGUGACCAGAACAAAACCUGACAGAGAAGCCAUCUUCCAGUGUCCUGCAGGGCAGAAGAACCUGGCCCACACCCUUGAAUGCAGGCCCAUGGAGAAGGGACGUGCUCCGUUAAGCAAGCUACAACGCAGGGGCGGAUCCCAGGGAGGCCAGAACUGCCCGGCUCCACACCAAAGAAACAGGUGGACAAAAAGGAAGCUUCUGAUGCCGACUCCACACCGGAGGGGUUUCUACACCUGGCCCAUCCUGCUGCCACAAGAGGGCUGCUGUGGGGACGCUGAUGGAGCCGCCUCGGGCCUGUGCCGUGGAGUCUGUGUCAGGAUGUUUACAGCGCCCCCAAAACACAAUCUGACCUACUGGCAGCCAUUGGCGACCUGAACCCUCUGCAAACACUUUGCUCAAUGGAGACGGAAUUUGGUGGCACCUCAAUGAUGGACUACUGGCUGCUAGAAAGGAGAAAAAAAUAAGCCUUGCUUCAGCCACCCAGUCUGUGGUCUCGGUUAUGGCAUCCAGAGCACAUGAAUACAACUGUCAUAAUACAAUUAUUGUCAGACUCUCAAUAAGCUUGUGUCUUGGGGGAGGGUGAGGAAGGAAAAAAUUGUAACUGGAAUAAAACUCUUGGUCUAAAUGGAAAA